rnacentral:rRNA from 1 species
CGUAACGCGUAUAGAAUCUGCCUUAUACUGAGGAAUAGCCCAGAGAAAUUUGGAUUAAUGCCUCAUAGUCUUUUACUGCCGCAUGGUAGUAUUUGUAAAGCUUCGGCGGUAUAAGAUGAGUAUGCGUUCUAUUAGCUAGUUGGUGAGGUAACUGCUCACCAAGGCUACGAUAGAUAGGGGUUCUGAGAGGAUGAUCCCCCACACUGGUACUGAGACACGGACCAGACUCCUACGGGAGGCAGCAGUGAGGAAUAUUGGUCAAUGGGCGCAAGCCUGAACCAGCCAUCCCGCGUGAAGGACGACGGCGCUACGCGUUGUAAACUUCUUUUAUAUACCAAGAAAAUUAGUCACGUGUGAUUAACUGACGGUAGUAUAUGAAUAAGCACCGGCUAACUCCGUGCCAGCAGCCGCGGUAAUACGGAGGGUGCAAGCGUUAUCCGGAUUCAUUGGGUUUAAAGGGUACGUAGGCGGUAUUAUAAGUCAGUGGUGAAAUCCUGCAGCUCAACUGUAGAACUGCCAUUGAAACUGUAGUACUUGAAUAAACUUGAGGUAGGCGGAAUAUGUAGUGUAGCGGUGAAAUGCUUAGAUAUUACAUAGAACACCGAUUGCGAAGGCAGCUUACUAAGGUUUUAUUGACGCUGAUGUACGAAAGCGUGGGGAGCGAACAGGAUUAGAUACCCUGGUAGUCCACGCCGUAAACGAUGAUCACUAGUUGUUGGCGAUACACAGUCAGUGACUAAGCGAAAGCAUUAAGUGAUCCACCUGGGGAGUACGAUCGCAAGAUUGAAACUCAAAGGAAUUGACGGGGGCCCGCACAAGCGGAGGAACAUGUGGUUUAAUUCGAUGAUACGCGAGGAACCUUACCUGGACUUUAAAUGUAGAUUGCAUAGAGUGGAGACAUUCUUUUCUUCGGACUAUCUACAAGGUGCUGCAUGGUUGUCGUCAGCUCGUGCCGUGAGGUGUCGGGUUAAGUCCCAUAACGAGCGCAACCCCUAUCGUUAGUUGCUAACAGGUUAAGCUGAGGACUCUAGCGAGACUGCCACCGUAAGGUGUGAGGAAGGUGGGGAUGACGUCAAAUCAGCACGGCCCUUAUGUCCAGGGCUACACACGUGUUACAAUGGUCGGUACAAAGGGCAGCUACUAGGUGACUAGAUGCUAAUCCUUAAAGCCGGUCUCAGUUCGGAUCGAAGUCUGCAACUCGACUUCGUGAAGCUGGAUUCGCUAGUAAUCGCAUAUCAGCCAUGAUGCGGUGAAUACGUUCCCGGGCCUUGUACACACCGCCCGUCAAACCAUGGAAGUUGGGGGUGCCUGAAGUCUGUAUCCGUAAGGAGCGGCCUAGGGUAAAACUGGUAACUAGGGCU